ACCAUUACAGAUGGACAAAUAUUUUUAUCUACGGAUCUACUCAAUGCCGGAAUUCAACCCGCUAUUAAUGUGGGUAUUUCUGUUUCCAGAGUAGGAUCCGUGGCUCAAAUUAAAGCCAUGAAACAAGUAGCUGGCAAAUAAAAAAUGGAACUAGCUCAAUUCGUAGAGUUACAAGCCUUUGCACAAUUCGCCUCUGCUCUCGAUAAAACAAGUCAGUAUCAAUUGGCAAGGGGUCGACGAUUAAGGGAAUUGCUUAAACAAUCCCAGGCAAAUCCUCUCCCAGUGGAAGAGCGGAUAGCUACUAUUUAUACCGGAACAAGAGGAUAUUCCCCGAACAUGCACCUCUUCUUUCCACCUCUUCCAGAUGUAUUUUUUUAA
rnacentral:rRNA from 1 species